rnacentral:rRNA from 1 species
AGUGAACGCUGGCGGUAGGCCUAACACAUGCAAGUCGAACGGCAGCACAGUAAGAGCUUGCUCUUACGGGUGGCGAGUGGCGGACGGGUGAGGAAUACAUCGGAAUCUACUUUUUCGUGGGGGAUAACGUAGGGAAACUUACGCUAAUACCGCAUACGACCUACGGGUGAAAGCAGGGGAUCUUCGGACCUUGCGCGAUUGAAUGAGCCGAUGUCGGAUUAGCUAGUUGGCGGGGUAAAGGCCCACCAAGGCGACGAUCCGUAGCUGGUCUGAGAGGAUGAUCAGCCACACUGGAACUGAGAGACGGUCCAGACUCCUACGGGAGGCAGCAGUGGGGAAUAUUGGACAAUGGGCGCAAGCCUGAUCCAGCCAUACCGCGUGGGUGAAGAAGGCCUUCGGGUUGUAAAGCCGUUUUGUUGGGAAAGAAAAGCAGCAGGUUAAUACCCCGCUGUUCUGACGGUACCCAAAGAAUAAGCACCGGCUAACUUCGUG